rnacentral:lncRNA from 1 species
AUGACGGCUUUUAUAGUUGUUCUUGCUGUUCUUAUCUCUUUAGGUGAGGGAGCUGGUGGAUGGUGUCCUGUGGCAGAGGGAGGAGCAGGAGGGGGAUCCAGUCAAGACACAGUCUCCAGAAGUAGCCUGAGCCAAGGAGCUGCUUGCGUGGCUGAGGACCCUGAGCCCCUAGCCCCUCCUGAGUGGAACCCCGUCUUCCCAGCCUGGACCAUUAGAGCACGAAUUCCCCUUCCCAAGACGUGCAUCCUGGAGAAGGGAGAGUCCCCUGGUGUGGACUCUGUCUCCCUUAGGAUGUCAGUCUCUCCCAGCCUCCUGGGCUUGGCCUCUACUUGGGGAAAUCUGGGUCUCAGAAGCUGUACCUCAGGCCCCUCUUAGCUGGCAAUGUGUAUGUCACACCCACAUCCUGCCCCACCAAGCCAUGUACACAUAUAGUGCACACAAUCCAGGCACUGAGUCUUGUGUGGGGUGAAGAUUUGUCCUGCACAGGGAGGCAGGGUGUAUGGUGAGGAGAGAAGGAAUGUGUGAAAUGUAUGUAGAACAGGGAGAAAUGAGGUCCUCUGGGGACACUGGGA